rnacentral:rRNA from 1 species
GACGAACGCUGGCGGCGUGCUUAACACAUGCAAGUCGAACGGUAAGGCCUUUCGGGGUCCACGAGUGGCGAACGGGUGAGUAACACGUGGGUGAUCUGCCCUGCACUUCGGGAUAAGCCCGGGAAACUGGGUCUAAUACCGGAUAGGACUGCGCGGUGCAUGCCGUGUGGUGGAAAGAUUUAUCGGUGCAGGAUGGGCCCGCGGCCUAUCAGCUUGUUGGUGGGGUAAUGGCCUACCAAGGCGACGACGGGUAGCCGGCCUGAGAGGGCGACCGGCCACAUGGGGACUGGGCCACGGCCCAGACUCCUACGGGAGGCAGCAGUGGGGAAUAUUGCACAAUGGGCGCAAGCCUGAUGCAGCGACGCCGCGUGAGGGAUGACGGCCUUCGGGUUGUAAACCUCUUUCAGCAGGGACGAAGCGUGAGUGACGGUACCUGCAGAAGAAGCACCGGCCAACUACGUG